rnacentral:rRNA from 1 species
GAGCACGUAGGUGGUUUGUAAGUCAGAUGUGAAAGCCUUCUGUUCAACGGGAGAAUUGCAUCUGAAACUGCUAAUCUUGAGUAUAGGAGGGGAGAAUGGAACUUCUGGUGGAGCGGUGAAAUGCGUAGAUAUCAGAAGGAACGCCGGCGGCGAAAGCGAUUCUCUGGCCUAUUACUGACACUCAGUGUGCGAAAGCUAGGGGAGCAAACGGGAUUAGAUACCCCGGAGCAGCUGAU